ACGAAAUCAAGCAGACACCGCACCAUUCAGGACCCAGAGUUAAGCACUUCCCCUUCUUUAGAUUGGAGCGGACACGAAUGCUCUUCAUUGUUUGAUAAUGCAUGUCGUUUAUGAGUGCCCCUUUCGUUAACACGGUUCCAAAAAGGGCUAUACAACGAACGGAGGAAACUGUGCGUGAUAAAACAGGCGACGGUGAAAGUGUACUACGUGUUUAAGCACUGUUCAUAAACACACGGAAGACAAACAAGCGCGUCGCAUAUCUUCUGCUGCCGAAGGCCAAAUGGAGAUGAGUUGGACUUGCAGGCACCUGACCUGGCCAGCAGGAGGCGCUAGCGCGUGGGGCGCUGGCACCCAGGCAGACUGGAUCCCUCUGGAUCCCACACUGGUGAGCAUUUCAGUGCUAACGGCUAAUUGUACAUCACUCUCUGGGGCUACAAGGCUAGCCAGUCCAUGAACGGUAGGGAUUGGAUUUGAUACCAGACCAUAGGGGCCCUGGCCAUUGGCUACCAAAUCAAUGCCUUAACACAGCGGUGCCCAAUCGUGUGUCACGGACGGGCGAUAGUACGCAGGUUUUCAUUCCAACCAAUCACUAACACCUGCUGAUGUCACUAAUUCGUUCCCUCCUCUCGGGUGUUAGUGAUUGGGUUGGAAUGAAAACCUGCGUACUCUUGCCCAUCUAUGACGUGAUUGGGCACCACCACCUUAACAGGAUGAGCUGUGUGUCAUUUGUCAUUUUAAAUUUUUUAAAAAUUCCACAUGUAAUUGACCGCACUGCAUCGCCUUGCUUGAUUUUUCCUGCAUUUGUGGAGUUUGAAUCUGGUCAUCCUUACAAUAUGCUUAAGUUUCAAAGAAGAGCUAUAAUUGCUUUACUGUCCUACUGUGCCUCUAGUGACAAAGCACUGCACAUUACCUGUGGAGUAGGGCUCACCUUAAAUCACCUCCAUACACUGCCUUCUGGAAGAUAAUGUCCUGCUCCCAUUGAAUUAUGGCCACUGACUUCCAAAAUUUGAUAACGUCCUUCUGAGACCUGGCAGAACAUUUUUA